UUUCUAGAAUUUAUUCAUUUAGUCACUUAACUUAUUUUGUGGCUUUAUACGGGAACCAAUCAUAUUUUUCGGAUCUAUUAAGUCCUUUUGGAUAUUAUGAAGGGAUAACCCGGUUAGCCCUUGCCAUGUCACUAAAUUAAUAUGCCACAUACACUACAAUUCCUUUGACCCUAUUCUCAUCCCAUCGACUGAUGUCUAUCUUCCUCUUCCCCCAUUUCUCAUCUUCAUUAACUACUGAAUACAUCAGAUGGGUAGAAUCAUGUAACACACAAUGUGUUUAUUCAGAUGCGUGUUGAUGAUUGUUCUAACAAAGAUCAGAGUGUAGAUCUCGUGAAAGUUCUAGAUGAUUCAGGUUCCGUUCUCAUUUUGGGAACCAUCGUUUUUUCUUAAUCCUGAAAAGGUAGUGAACGCAAUCAAUGGUUUAAUGGCCGGGGAGGAUAUUCCGGUGAACGAGAUGGAAGAGUUGGAGUGAUGGGAGUAAGAAAUCAACAAGAAAGUAGAAAAAAAUGGUUUGGAGAGAACUUUGGGGUGGAUUAGGUUACCUAAUGGUGUUGGUGCAGAGAAAAAUGGUCAUCUGCAAUCAACUUCAAAAUGGGUUUCCCCAGUGAUCUUCUACACUGCCCUGUCUGCAAACAUCAUCGAAUUGAAUCCACAACAAAUACCGAUUGUGAAGAUAGAAAUUUCAAUUUUAAGGAUCAAGAGAUUGCUUAUUAUAACUUGAUGAUUGCGUUUGUUCCUUCGGCUAUCCUUUUUUCGUCGUAUGCUGUUUACCUUGGUGCUGGUGAGUAACUAAACAAUUUAGCUGAUUUUUUUUAGAUUUAAACGACUAAUAUUGGAUAGGAGAAUGAUUGUAUUGAGUUUUAGAUGAUGUUAUAUAUUUCUUGAUCUUUUCAUUA